CGUAGGUGGCAAGCGUUGUCCGGAUUUAUUGGGUUUAAAGGGUGCGUAGGUGGCCCUGUAAGUCAGUGGUGAAAUAUCUCAGCUUAACUGAGAGGGUGCCAUUGAUACUGCAGGGCUUGAGUACAGAUGAGGUAGGCGGAAUUGACGGUGUAGCGGUGAAAUGCAUAGAUAUCGUCAAGAACACCGAUAGCGAAGGCAGCUUACCAAGCUGUAACUGACACUGAGGCACGAAAGUGUGGGGAUCAAACAGGAUUAGAUACCCUGGUAGUCCACACUGUAAACGUUGAUGACUCGAUGUUGGCGAUACGCAGCCAGCGUCCAAGAGCAAUCGUUAAGUCAUCCACCUGGGGAGUACGCCGGCAACGGUG
rnacentral:rRNA from 1 species